UACGUAGGGCGCAAGCGUUAUCCGGAAUUAUUGGGCGUAAAGAGCUCGUAGGCGGUUUGUCGCGUCUGCUGUGAAAUCCCGAGGCUCAACCUCGGGCCUGCAGUGGGUACGGGCAGACUAGAGUGCGGUAGGGGAGAUUGGAAUUCCUGGUGUAGCGGUGGAAUGCGCAGAUAUCAGGAGGAACACCGAUGGCGAAGGCAGAUCUCUGGGCCGUAACUGACGCUGAGGAGCGAAAGGGUGGGGAGCAAACAGG
rnacentral:ncRNA from 3 species